rnacentral:rRNA from 1 species
UACAGAGGGGGCAAGCGUUGUUCGGAAUUACUGGGCGUAAAGGGCGCGUAGGCGGCCUGUUAAGUCGAACGUGAAAUCCCCGGGCUCAACCCGGGAACUGCGUCCGAUACUGGCAGGCUUGAAUUCGGGAGAGGGAUGUGGAAUUCCAGGUGUAGCGGUGAAAUGCGUAGAUAUCUGGAGGAACACCGGUGGCGAAGGCGGCAUUCUGGACCGAUAUUGACGCUGAGGAGCGAAAGCCAGGGGAGCAAACGGG